CCUCGUCUUAUCUCCGGAUAUACAACAAAGAGAACGUCGUCCGGGUAGCCGCGGCUUAUAAGCCGCACCGAUGCGGCCGCCGGAGAAGCGAGAGGUCCGCGGCGUCGGGAAGAGCCGAGAUGCGGCUGCGGAAAACGCGGCUCCGGAACCCCGAAAGCAGCGACGGUCUAGGGCAGGGAACCCCCGUCACAACGAGCCGGCCAAUCAGACGCACACGCCGAAUGGCGUCACAACUGACGGACGCAAAUCACUUUCCCGCCCGCCUCUGCUUAGAACUGAGAAACUAUGAUGUCACAGAAAAUGGUGUGAAAGGGAUCCGAAAUGUUCUACAGCUCUGUUUUUUUGACAAGUCGUAUUUCCUGUGUGACCUUGUACAUACACACCUUGUCAUGUUUUACUGAUAAACUGAUAGGUAGAGAUUCGGUUUUUGUGCUAGUAAAUGAAACAGCUGGAACCAGCCUCAGAGUGUGCAGAAAAAGUGGUUUAAUUUUUCUGGUGCAAUUUGGAACCUGGACCAAAACGACCUCAACAUAUUAACUGAAAAUAUGGUGCCAAACUAAUGCUAACUAAACUGACACCAAUGCUAAAAUCUAUUAAAAGCUGGUCAGGUUCCAGCUCAGUAUGCUGUGAAAGAGAAGCAGUAGGUGUGAUGCGCCUAAUGAAGCUAUUAAUUAAAGUUGAAUUCAAAUAGA